rnacentral:rRNA from 1 species
GACGAAGGAUGCAAGCGUUGUCCGGAAUCAUUGGGCGUAAAGAGCGUGUAGGCGGACUGGAAGGUCUGGUGUGAAAGCCCGGGGGCUCAACCCCGGAACUGCCUUUGAGACUGGGAUGCUAGAUCGUCGGAGAGGUGAGUGGAAUUCCGAGUGUAGAGGUGAAAUUCGUAGAUAUUCGGAAGAACACCAGUGGCGAAGGCGGCUCACUGGACGACUGAUGACGCUGAGGUGCGAAAAGCGUGGGGAGCGAACAGGG